rnacentral:snRNA from 1 species
GUGUUCACUUCAGCAGCGCAUAUACUCAAAUUGGAACGAUACAAAGAAGAUCAGCAUGGCCCCUGAGCAAGGAUGACAUGCAAAUUUGUGAAGCGUUCCAUAUUUUU